GACGUAGGGCGCGAGCGUUGCUCGGAAUCACUGGGCGUAAAGGGUGCGUAGGCGGGUCUUUAAGUCAGGGGUGAAAUCCUGGAGCUCAACUCCAGAACUGCCUUUGAUACUGAGGAUCUUGAGUUCGGGAGAGGUGAGUGGAACUGCGAGUGUAGAGGUGAAAUUCGUAGAUAUUCGCAAGAACACCAGUGGCGAAGGCGGCUCACUGGCCCGAUACUGACGCUGAGGCACGAAAGCGUGGGGAGCAAACAGG
rnacentral:rRNA from 1 species